UACGAAGGGUGCAAGCGUUAAUCGGAAUUACUGGGCGUAAAGGGUGCGUAGGCGGUUGUUUAAGUCUGCCGUGAAAUCCCCGGGCUCAACCUGGGAAUGGCGGUGGAUACUGGGCAGCUAGAGUGUGUCAGAGGAUGGUGGAAUUCCCGGUGUAGCGGUGAAAUGCGUAGAGAUCGGGAGGAAUACCCGUGGCGAAGGCGGCCUGCUGGGAUACACCUGACGCUGAGACACGAAGGCGUGGGGAGCGAACGGG
rnacentral:rRNA from 1 species